rnacentral:lncRNA from 1 species
UAGUGUAUACCUAGAAACAUUGCAAGCUGACUAAAGACUGCCACCACUUCAGCUGACUUAGACCUGAUCUUGAAAAUUACAGCUCCUGAAAAUCCUAGUACACGAAUGAGAGCCAAAAAGUACCUCCGGAAAAAACCCAGACAUUCCUUAUGCAUCUUCUUCCUUCAAGUCUGCUGGACAAAGCUGUGUGCAGGUCAUAGCCAAGAUGAUACAGAACAUCCUUCAUAUAAUUUAAAGAUUCUAAACUGUCUACCACUUGAACUGAAGGACAAAGUAUGUGCUAAUUCAGACUGUCAGGUUGUUGGAAAAUUUUGAACAGCAGCAUGAUUUGAGUCACUGUAUAGUGCACAUUGGCAUGGAUGCACUCUGUGUUGCUGUGGAGAUGAGAGAUUAUCUAAGUUUGAAAAAUAAACCAGUGGCUGUUGGAGGUAACUAAAUGCUGGUUGGAAGGAUAUAGAUGGAUUUAGUAGUUUUGUUUGUGAAAAUUGUAAGACAGAGAGCAAAUAGCUGGAGACAGUUGAAAAGCAGACAGUCCUGAUUUGCAUGGAAUUCCAGUUAAAAGGUGUAGAGCCACACACUGUUGUUAUGAUUAAUUCAAGGAAAGGUGUGUGAACAAAGAAGAACAGACAAGCUCUUGAAGCAGAGACUAAAUAUGAACAUAGCAGUGUGUCAGAAUUAAAAACAUUUAUCCUAGUGACACAUUGAGAAAAUAGCAUAUGUAAGAAAUAAAACAUUUGACUAAGUGAGGCAAAAUAUGAAGACCUUAUGUCAGAAAAAAAAACAACAACAAAAAAACUGUUAAUAGAGAGUCAAAUUGAGUAUGCCACAUGUCAAAAGAAAAAAACAUUGAUCGGAGGACAAAAUCACAACACCACAUUUUGGAAGAAUAUACAUUGUACAUAUAUCAUACAGAUGCAAAAAUGAGCACACAGCAUGUUACAGACAAAAAGAGAGAACAAGGAUUAAUGCACAUGACAGAAGCAAAAUCCUACAGAGCAGAGAAAAAAUCUGUAUACAUUGUAAGAAGCAGUUUUGAAGCAGAAGACAGCUAGGUUUGAG